rnacentral:misc_RNA from 1 species
AAGUCGUAACAAGGUUUCCGUAGGUGAACCUGCGGAAGGAUCAUUACAAAAGCAUCACGCGGGGUGACAAGCUCCUGGGAUGAGCGGCAUGCGUGCCGUGAAGCCCAGUUGGGCGAGUUGCCCAUCGUGGAAAACAUGCAAUUCUUCUGUGUACCUAUUACUUGUUGCUUCCCUGGCCCUGCCAGGGAAGGUAUAUCAAACUCUGCUAUCUUUGUGGUCAGUCUGAAGUUGUUUAUUCAUAAACGUUAAAACUUUCAACAACGGAUCUCUUGGUUCUC